CCCUAGCCCCGAUAGUAGUGAAAAUCCUUUUGUGCCGGGGUUCGGCACAAAAGAUUGAAACGGAUAGCGGGAAAUAGC
rnacentral:sRNA from 1 species